CACAAGAGCAUAAAAGGCAAGAGAGAUAGAAGGUCUACAAAUGCAACAAGAAAUGGUUCAAAAGCAAUUGGAGCAGCAUCAACAGGCAAUCAAUGGUAUUUCAGAAAGGUUAGAUCAACUUACUAACAUGUUACGUUCUGUUGUUGAAUCUAAUCAUGUUAAUUCUCAUGAAGCUCGUGGGGGAAUUGUGAGGAUAAAAGUGUAGUUUGUAGAGGGUUGUGUUUGGAUUUUCCACGUUUUAAUGGCACUGAUCCUAAUGGGUGGGUUUUUAAGGCCACUUAGUAUUUCGAUUACCAUCAAACACCAUUUCAUUAGAAGUUGUUAGUGGCUUCUUAUCAUAUGGAAGGGGAGGCGUUGAUAUGGUACCAAGAAGGCUUGGAUUCUGGCCAAUUUAAUUCAUGGGAGUCCUUGAUUUUGGCUUUACAAGUGAGGUUUGGGCCAUCAGCAUAUGAUGACCCAAUGGAGGCUUUGAUGAAAUUGAAGCAGACUUCUUCUAUCACUUUGUACAAGUCACAAUUUGAAGUUUUGUCUAAUCGAUUAAAAGGACUAUCUGAAAAAUAUAAACUUAGAUGUUUUCUGAGUGGGUUAAAAGAUGAAGUCAGAUUACCAGUUAAAAAUGUUUAAUCCUGUCAAUCUUGGGGCUGCUUUUGGAUUGGCAAAGAUCCAAGAGGAGUAUGUUUUAUCCUCGAGAAGGCCUUGGAAGUAUAAUCUGAAUCUUGGUGAGAAAGGGGUUAUUGAUAAUGCAGUAGAAGUUUCUAAUAGAGGGCCAAGGGAUCAGGUUCUAGCUAAGAGAGUUCUUUACAAAUGGAUGAAAAAAGAAAAAAAGGACUUUGUUAUCACUGUGAUGAGAAAGGGAACCCCAAUCACAUUUGUAAAAAUCAAAAGGUUUAUUUGUUGCAUGUGGAUAGCAGUGUAGAGAAUGAAGAUAAACAAGUGGAUGGAGAGUUGGUACUAGAAGUGAAUUCAGUUCUUGAAAAAGAGUUUGAAGAGCUUGAGGUUUCCAUUAAUGCUAUUUAUGGUUGUACUAACAAUAAUGCAAUGAAGUUGUUGGGCAAGAUUGGUUCAUUUUCUAUUGAAAUCUUGGUGGAUUCAGGAAGUACUCAUAACUUCUUGGAUCCAUUGGUUGUAGAGGCAACAAAGUUGAAGGUAAUCAAAGAUGUGGGUCUUCAAGUGAAGGUGGCUAAUGGUGCUAAAAUACUUAGCCAAGGCAGAUGUGAAGAAAAUAUCAGCAUUCAAGGUACCAAGUUUUUGGUUCCUUUUCAUGUAUUGAAUC